ACGAACGCUGGCGGCGUGCCUAACACAUGCAAGUCGAGCGAGAAAGUCCGCAAGGAUGAGUAAAGCGGCGAACGGGUGAGUAACACGUAGGUAACCUACCCUUCAGACCGGGACAACCUGUCGAAAGACGGGCUAAUACCGGAUAAGACCACGUUUUCUUCGGAAGAUGAGGUCAAAGUUGGCCUCUGUAUACACGCUAACACUGAUUGAUGGGCCUGCGUACCAUUAGCUAGUUGGUAGGGUAACGGCCUACCAAGGCGACGAUGGUUAGCUGAUCUGAGAGGAUGAUCAGCCACACUGGAACUGAAACACGGUCCAGACUCCUACGGGAGGCAGCAGUGGGGAAUUUUGCGCAAUGGGGGAAACCCUGACGCAGCAACGCCGCGUGAGUGAUGAAGGCCUUCGGGUCGUAAAGCUCUGUCGGAGGGAACGAAACCUUCCGGGGUGAACAAUCCCGGGAUUUGACGGUACCCUCAAAGGAAGCACCGGCUAACCACGUGCCAGCAGCCGCGGUAAUACGUGGGGUGCAAGCGUUGUUCGGAAUUACUGGGCGUAAAGGGCGUGUAGGCGGCCAACCGCAGGUCAGGUUGUGAAAGCCUCCGGCUUAACCCGAGGUCAACUGAUAGCUGCGGAAUGGCUAGAGUGCAGGAGAGGGCAGACUGGAAUUCCCGGUGUAGCGGUGAAAUUCGUAGAUAUCGAGAGGAACACCGGCGGCGAAGCGGUUCUCUGGACUGUACACUGACGCUGAGACUGCGAAAGCGUAGGGGAUCGAACAGGAUUAGAUACCCCUGGUAGUCCUAGCCGUAAACGAUGGAUACUUAGGUGUCUGUGGUUUAUACACUCGCAGUGCCGUCGCUAACGCAUUAAGCAUUCCCGCCUGGGGAGUACGGUCGCAAGACUUAAACUCAAGGAAUUGACGGGGACCCGCACAAGCGGUGGAGCAUGUGGUUUAAUUCGACGCAACGCGAAGAACCUUACCUGGGCUAGAAUGCCUCUGAGACCGCCUAGAGAUACGCCGGCCUGGGUACCGCAAGAGAGCUCAAGACAGGUGCUGCAUGGCUGUCGUCAGCUCGUGUCGUGAGAUGUUGGGUUAAGUCCCGCAACGAGCGCAACCCUUAUCAUAGUUGCCAUCAUUUCGUCCGGGCACUCUAGAGAGACUGCCCGGUUACAACGGGAGGAAGGUGGGGAUGACGUCAAGUCCUCAUGGCCUUUAUGUCCAGGGCUACACACGUGCUACAAUGGGCCGGUACAAAGGCGCUGCAAACCUGCGAGGGGGAGCCAAUCCUAAAACCGUUCUCAGUUCGGAUUGGAGUCUGCAACUCGACUCCAUGAAGCUGGAAUCGCUAGUAAUCGCGGAUCAGAACGCCGCGGUGAAUACGUUCCCGGGCCUUGUACACACCGCCCGUCACAUCACGAAAGUGGCGUACUAGAAGCAGGUGUGCUAACCGCAAGGAGGCAGCCGUUCAAGGUACUGACUCAUGAUUGGGGUG
rnacentral:rRNA from 1 species